UACGUAGGGGCCUAGCGUUGUCCGGAAUUAUUGGGCGUAAAGAGCGUGUAGGCGGCCCGAUUAGUCCGCUGUGAAAGUCCAGGGCUCAACCCUGGAAUGCCGGUGGAUACUGUCGGGCUAGAGUCCGGAAGGGGCGAGUGGAAUUCCCGGUGUAGCGGUGAAAUGCGCAGAUAUCGGGAGGAACACCAAUGGCGAAGGCAGCUCGCUGGGACGUGACUGACGCUGAGACGCGAAAGCGUGGGGAGCAAACAGG
rnacentral:rRNA from 1 species